rnacentral:piRNA from 1 species
UGUAUUGCCUUGCAAGGUAUAGAAACCUGUA